rnacentral:rRNA from 1 species
GACAGAGUUUGAUCCUGGCUCAGGACAAACGCUGGCGGAAUGUAUUAGGCAUGCAAGUCGCACGAACCUUCGGGUUAGUGGCGGACGGCUGAGUAACGCGUGGGUGACCUGCCUCGAAGUGGGGAAUAACUGCCCGAAAGGGUGGCUAAUACCGCAUGUGACGGUGCGUUCGAUCGCACCAUGAAAGCAGCAAUGCGCUUUGAGAGGGGCCUGCGUUCGAUUAGCUCGUUGGUGGGGUAACGGCUCACCAAGGCGACGAUCGAUAGGUGGUCUGAGAGGACGAUCACCCAGACUGGGACUGAGACACGGCCCAGACUCCUACGGGAGGCAGCAGUCGGGAAUUUUGCGCAAUGGACGAAAGUCUGACGCAGCAACGCCGCGUGAGGGAUGAAGGCCUUCGGGUUGUAAACCUCUUUUCUCAGGGACGAUAAUGACGGUACCUGAGGAAGAAGCCACGGCUAACUACGUGCCAGCAGCCGCGGUAAACCUAAAUAGCUA